CCUACGGGAGGCAGCAGUGAGGAAUAUUGGUCAAUGGGCGCGAGCCUGAACCAGCCAAGUAGCGUGAAGGAUGACUGCCCUACGGGUUGUAAACUUCUUUUAUAAAGGAAUAAAGUGAGGCACGUGUGCCUUUUUGUAUGUACUUUAUGAAUAAGGAUCGGCUAACUCCGUGCCAGCAGCCGCGGUAAUACGGAGGAUCCGAGCGUUAUCCGGAUUUAUUGGGUUUAAAGGGAGCGUAGAUGGGUUGUUAAGUCAGUUGUGAAAGCUUGCGGCUCAACCGUAAAAUGGCAAUUGAUACUGGCAGUCUUGAGUGCAGUAGAGGUGAGUGGAAUUCGUGGUGUAGCGGUGAAAUGCUUAGAUAUCACGAAGAACUCCGAUUGCGAAGGCAGCUUACUGGACUGCCACUGACGUUGAGGCUCGAAAGUGUGGGUAUCAAACAGGAUUAGAUACCCUAGUAGUC
rnacentral:rRNA from 1 species